GUGGGGAAUUUUGGACAAUGGGCGCAAGCCUGAUCCAGCCAUUCCGCGUGCAGGAUGAAGGCCUUCGGGUUGUAAACUGCUUUUGUACGGAACGAAAAGCCUCUGGUUAAUACCCGGGGGUCAUGACGGUACCGUAAGAAUAAGCACCGGCUAACUACGUGCCAGCAGCCGCGGUAAUACGUAGGGUGCGAGCGUUACUCGGAAUUACUGGGCGUAACGCGUGCGCAGGCGGUGAUGUAAGACAGUUGUGAAAUCCCCGGGCUCAACCUGGGAACUGCAUCUGUGACUGCAUUGCUGGAGUGCGGCAGAGGGGGAUGGAAUUCCGCGUGUAGCAGUGAAAUGCGUAGAUAUGUCAUGGAACACCGAAAGCGAAGGCAGCUAACGAUACUUAUAUUGACGCUCAUGGACGAAAGCGUGGGUAGCGAACAGGAUUAGAAACCCGGGUAGUCC
rnacentral:rRNA from 1 species